CACCUGGUUUUGACCCUGACGUAAUGAGAAAAAUCAGAGAUAGAACUGCCCAUAUUCAUUUAGCCAAUCGGAUUGCAGUAUUUAUGACCGGAACUAGAGCAUUUUAGGAGUAUAAAAAGUCGCUAUAACUCAGUAACUCGCUGUCUUCUUCGAGGGAUCUUUUGCACACACUCCCUGUGCCAGCUCUACCGUCUCAGCCCAGCUCUACCGUCUCAGCCCAGUUCUACCGUCUCAUCCCAGCUCUACCGUCUCAGCCCAGCUCUAUCGUCUCACUCUACCUUUACCUCUCAACAAAGCAGCUCUGAUGAGUGCCUCUGGCUCUGGAUACCCUCUAAAACGGAGCAAAACAACAUCCACAACAUUGCCUGUAGUGUUGCCAUCCUCAAGCACUGUGUCACGUGUGGUUUCUGUGUCAGAGUUUAAUUUAUUCACGGUAGCUGAUACGUCUGAACAAAGAGGAGUAGACACACCAAGAUACACUCUAGAAGAAAUUGCUACGUACCUUAGUGUUGGCUAUCAAAAAAACGUUACAAGUGAAGAACUUGCUUCCAAGUGCAUUAAAUCUUUUCUCGGAGAUAUGGAUAUAGAAGCCGAAGCCUUUCCCGGUAUUGAAACUGAAGCUAACCGUGAAAUAAAACACAUGAGACACUUAACACAUGUGUGUGUGUCCAUGACCUCAAGGCCGGACGUGAUAGUGUAUUCAAAAAAAAAAGAUAUAACCAUAACAUUCGUCGAAGUACAAUCUUCGCCAAUGAAAGACACGGAACGAAAAGCAACCUUUGUUGCAAAAGACUUUUUAAGGAUGUUAAGAUAUGUAGAUUCAUCCAUAACCACACUAUCUGUGUUUUGUUUUCCGAAGCGUAAAGUCCAGCAAUGUAUAAUUGAAAUUGAAGUAAAGUGGGAUAACUUCUACAUUUUCACGAAUUUAAAACGUUUUCCGAACUUGGAAGAUGGUUUGAAAAGGCUAAAGGAAGUCGCUCUAAAACAAUGUGACCACCCAGCACUUGAAAGGCCAGAGGAAAAUAUGAUGACAUUAUCCCCCACCGAUUUAAAUGCUUUUGGAGUUGGUUAUGAGCAAAUGUCUUCUGCUACACACAUUGUUGUGACAAACAAAGAAAAUGUUAUCAAAGUUUUAUAUUGCGAUUCUGAAGCCACUCGUAUUAAGGAUUUGAUCCAUAAUGUAGAAUUCAAAGCUCUUUCAAUGCAGAGAUUCAUGUUAAAUGUUGACCCUGAACUCGAAUGCUAUGUUUAUACGUAUUUUCCGUACGGUCCUUUAAAACGAAUUGAUGCAAAAAAAUGUUUAAAAGAACUACUUGCAAAAAUAGCUGACGAAUUACUGAAAUUGCGCCGGAUGAAUAUUUCUCAUAAUGACGUGAGAUUGGAAAACAUAUGUUUUGAUGGACAAUUUAAGCCAUGCUUUAUCGAUUUUGAUCGUUGUUGCACUUUAACAAGCAAAUCGAGAGACAAGUAUUUCUCAGGACAUGGACUACAUAGUUGUAUGUACAAUCUUUUUAACCCUGUAUUCUCUCGUAUUCAAUUGAAAGAGCCUGACGUUACCACCGAUUUUAUGCAGCUGGGCUGGAUGGCUGCAUUUAUUUUGGAUGAUAAUGUCGAAGCAAAAGAUUAUCAUACUAGAGAAUGGGAAUUAACUGCCGAGAAAGGUCAUGUACUAGUAUCAGAAGAAAUCAAACGAAAUAAGUUUAUACAGGAGUUAAUAGUAAAUAAAAAAAUUCGAUCGAGACCUCCUCAGCACCUGUCUACCCGAUGAUAUAAAAACUGUGAAAGACGUUAUGUCUACCCGAUGAUAUAAAAACUGUGAAAGACGUUAUAAAGAGCUAGACUCUGAAUCUACUUGUCCUUAUUAUUAUAUGCAAUUAUUAUUAUAUUACAUCAAUAUUAAUUUUAUUGUAUAUUUA